rnacentral:tRNA from 1 species
GCCCACGUAGCUCAGCAGGUAGAGCAACUCCUUGGUAAGGAGUAGGUCCCCAGUUCGAGUCUGGGCGUGGGCU